UACCAACUGCCAUAUAUUCGAUCUAGACUCGAUAUGCUGGAUAGGCAUCAAGUCACUUAUUAGUUUGAUGUCCCCCUGCGCGUCAUUUUGCUUACCCGUAGGGGCUAAGCAAGGAAAUACCCUCAUUCAAAGGAAAGAUCGUAACAUGAACAAACUGACUGGAACCGUUAAAUGGUUCAACGAUGAAAAGGGCUUUGGCUUUAUCUCUGGUGCUGAUGGCAAAGAUGUAUUCGUCCACUUCAGUGCUAUUCAGGCUCAGGGCCGUCGCACCCUACAUGAAGGUCAAAGUGUUGAGUUUAUCGUGACAGAUGGUCAGAAAGGUCCACAGGCUAGCGAAGUUGUUGCGCUGUCUUAAUGCCGCUGAAAAACUCUUCAUAAAAAAAACGCCGCUAAGCGGCGUUUUUUAUC
rnacentral:other from 1 species